rnacentral:rRNA from 1 species
UACGUAGGGGGCAAGCGUUGUCCGGAAUCAUUGGGCGUAAAGAGCGUGUAGGCGGUCCGGUAAGUCGGCUGUGAAAGUCCAGGGCUCAACCCUGGGAUGCCGGUCGAUACUGCCGGACUAGAGUUCGGAAGAGGCGAGUGGAAUUCCCGGUGUAGCGGUGAAAUGCGCAGAUAUCGGGAGGAACACCUAUGGCGAAGGCAGCUCGCUGGGACGUUUACUGACGCUGAGACGCGAAAAGCGUGGGGAGCAAACGGG